rnacentral:rRNA from 1 species
GGAAAUUUGAGAAGACCUGUCCUUAGUACGAGAGGACCGGGAUGGACGUACCUCUGGUGUACCAGUUGUCCUGCCAAGGGCAUGGCUGGGUAGCUAUGUGCGGAAUGGAUAAGCGCUGAAAGCAUCUAAGCGCGAAGCCAACUUCAAGAUAAGAUUUCCCACCGCAAGGGUAAGACCCCAGAAAGACUAUCUGGUUGAUAGGUCGAAGGUGUAAGUGCAGCAAUGUAUUUAGCUUAUCGAUACUAAUAGGUCGAGGACUUGACCAAU